rnacentral:misc_RNA from 1 species
GAUGAAGAACGUAGCGAAAUGCGAUAAGUAAUGUGAAUUGCAGAAUUCAGUGAAUCAUCGAAUCUUUGAACGCACAUUGCGCCCGCCAGUAUUCUGGCGGGCAUGCCUGUUCGAGCGUCAUUUCAACCAUCAAGCCCCGGGCUUGUGUUGGGGACCUGCGGCUGCCGCAGGCCCUGAAAAGCAGUGGCGGGCUCGCUGUCACACCGAGCGUAGUAGCAUAUAUCUCGCUCUGGGCGUGCUGCGGGUUCCGGCCGUUAAACCACCUUUUAACCCAAGGUUGACCUCGGAUCAGGUAGGAAGACCCGCUGAACUUAAGCAUAUCAAUAAGCGGAGGA